CUGGCGGCAGGCCUAACACAUGCAAGUCGAGCGGUAGAGAGAAGCUUGCUUCUCUUGAGAGCGGCGGACGGGUGAGUAAUGCCUAGGAAUCUGCCUGGUAGUGGGGGAUAACGUUCGGAAACGGACGCUAAUACCGCAUACGUCCUACGGGAGAAAGCAGGGGACCUUCGGGCCUUGCGCUAUCAGAUGAGCCUAGGUCGGAUUAGCUAGUUGGUGAGGUAAUGGCUCACCAAGGCGACGAUCCGUAACUGGUCUGAGAGGAUGAUCAGUCACACUGGAACUGAGACACGGUCCAGACUCCUACGGGAGGCAGCAGUGGGGAAUAUUGGACAAUGGGCGAAAGCCUGAUCCAGCCAUGCCGCGUGUGUGAAGAAGGUCUUCGGAUUGUAAAGCACUUUAAGUUGGGAGGAAGGGUUGUAGAUUAAUACUCUGCAAUUUUGACGUUACCGACAGAAUAAGCACCGGCUAACUCUGUGCCAGCAGCCGCGGUAAUACAGAGGGUGCAAGCGUUAAUCGGAAUUACUGGGCGUAAAGCGCGCGUAGGUGGUUUGUUAAGUUGGAUGUGAAAUCCCCGGGCUCAACCUGGGAACUGCAUUCAAAACUGACUGACUAGAGUAUGGUAGAGGGUGGUGGAAUUUCCUGUGUAGCGGUGAAAUGCGUAGAUAUAGGAAGGAACACCAGUGGCGAAGGCGGCCACCUGGACUAAUACUGACACUGAGGUGCGAAAGCGUGGGGAGCAA
rnacentral:rRNA from 1 species